rnacentral:rRNA from 1 species
UACGGAGGAGGCAAGCGUUAUCCGGAAUUAUUGGGCGUAAAGCGUCCGUAGAUGGUUUUGUCAGUCUGCUGUCAAAGCACAGGGCUUAACCCCGUAAAGGCAGUGGAAACUACAAGACUAGAGUGCAGUAGGGGCAGAGGGAAUUCCCAGUGUAGCGGUGAAAUGCGCAGAUAUCAGGAGGAACACCGGUGGCGAAGGCGGUUCUCUGGGCCUUACCUGACACUGAGGAGCGAAAGCGUGGGGAGCGAACAGG